rnacentral:tRNA from 2 species
GUUUUUAUAGUUUAAUUAAAACAUUGGUCUUGUAAAUCAAAAUUAAAUAUUUAUUUUAAAAACU